rnacentral:rRNA from 1 species
GCAUGAUGAAGGCCAGGCUGAAGACCUUGCCUGAUCCGCUGAGAGGUGGUGCAUGGCCGUCGUCAGUUCGUACUGUGAAGCAUCCUGUUAAGUCAGGCAACGAGCGAGACCCACGCCCACAGUUGCCAGCGAGCCCUUCGGGGUGGCGGGUACUCUGUGGGGACCGCCGCUGCUAAAGCGGAGGAAGGAAUGGGCAACGGUAGGUCAGUAUGCCCCGAAUCUCCCGGGCUACACGCGGGCUACAAUGGUCGGUACAAUGGGUAUCUACCCCGAGAGGGGAUGGAAAUCUCCUAAAACCGGUCGUAGUUCGGAUUGAGGGCUGCAACUCGCCCUCAUGAAGCUGGAAUCCGUAGUAAUCGCGUUUCAACAGAACGCGGUGAAUACGUCCCUGCUCCUUGCACACACCGCCCGUCAAACCACCCGAGUAGGGUCUGGAUAAGGGUGCGCCAUGUUGACGCAUUCGAAUCUGGGCUUUGCAAGGGGGGUUAAGUCGUAACAAGGUAACCAAGGGCGAAU